GACGAACGCUGGCGGCGUGCUUAACACAUGCAAGUCGAACGGAAAGGCCCUGCUUUUGUGGGGUGCUCGAGUGGCGAACGGGUGAGUAACACGUGAGUAACCUGCCCAUGACUUUGGGAUAACUUCAGGAAACUGGGGCUAAUACCGGAAAGGAGCGCCUGCUGCAUGGGGGGGGUUGGAAAGUUUCGGCGGUUGGGGAUGGACUCGCGGCUUAUCAGCUUGUGGGUGGGGUAGUGGCUUACCACGGCUUUGACGGGUAGCCGGCCUGAGGGGGUGACCGGCCACAUUGGGGCUACGGUGCGGCCCAGCCUCCUCCGGGGGGAGGCAGUGGGGAGUAAUGCUCAAUGGGCGGAGGCCUGAUGCAGCAGCGCCGCGGGCGGGAUGACGGCCUUCGGGUUGUAGACCGCUUUCGCCUGUGACGAAGCGUGAGUGACGGUAAUGGGUAAAGAAGCACCGGCUAACUACGUG
rnacentral:rRNA from 1 species